UUUUUCUACAUCCAAUAAAAGCUACAUAAUCAGUUUGCAAGCUUCGUCUAUAAACUCCGUCAUCCAUAUAUUAUCUCUUUAUCCAACUCAAGUGUUUGGUCAAUUUCUUGCUUAAAUUUUUGCAUAUUUGAUGAUUAAUUCUCUGAGUAAGGUCUUGAUUGGAUGAUUCAAGAAUUCUGGCCUUGCAGGGCAGGCCCUAGUGCUUUUUUUAAUGGGAGGAAAUGUUUAGACAGAUACAACUUCAGUUCCUCCAACAUCAGGUCUAGGUAAACAAUAUAUUAUUCUUAAUACUUAAUUACUAAAGUUCUAUUUAAUUUAAACUAAUAUUGUCAUUUAUUUUCAGACAUUGAGUAUGCCCUGCACUAAACCAGACUAAACCAGCUCAUAGUUAUCGCCAUCGUUGCUCUAAUUCUCUUAUGUUCAUUUUAUGGCGUUAUAUUAAACUUUCAUCUUUUAUGUUUUGUGAUUUUUUCAUGAUUUUUAAUAUCUUUCUUUAUAUACUAAACUAAGAUAUGCAAUUUUUCCAGAUUUUCACAUGUUUAUGAGGUUUUAUGGCCUCUCCUAAGCGAUAUCUCAAGGCUUGACAAAACUGCAUGUUAAUCAGGAACACAUUGUACAUGGGAGCAUGGGAUCAAGGACACACAUGCCACUAAUUAACCAAAUUUAAUUAAAUUCAAAGUUAUUAGCUUGUUUUGUUAUUGUUACACUGAGAUGUAUAGACUUUAGAAGUGAAUGUAAGUGUUGUUUUAAAGAUAAUUUUCGUGAAGUUUGGUUUUGCAUACUUUUAGAAAACAAGAAUUCCUGUAUUUGGGGAAUCCUAGUGAUUUUUGGCAUUUGUAUAUGUUCGUGUUGGGAAAUUAUAAUAAUUUUUGGCAUGCGGUUACAUUUUUUAAUAGGUUUCAGUAUUAAUUCGAAGAAAAUAUUGAAAAAUAUAUACAAGUAUUUAUGACGGUUUUCAACUGUCGAGAAAUGUAUUCUUGACGGUUUUCAAAAUAUGUAUGAGUAUUUACGACGGUUCUCAAAGCGUCGAGAAACAUUAUUCCCGACGGUUUUUUUACACGUGGAAGUAUAUACGACGGCCUUUUUCUUGACGGUUUCGUGACGGUCGAAAACCGUCAAGAAUAAUGCUCCCGACGGUUUUUCUACUUUUCCCGACGGUUUUUUACCAUCGCAUAAAGCCAUAAAUGUUG